rnacentral:lncRNA from 1 species
CAGCAGAGGUAGCUGCGGCAGCUGAGCUGGGCACAGGGAGCCUCGCUCGGUCCUGCGGGUCCCAGCAGCAGCUUCCCACAGCAGCAGCCAGCUGUGCUCUAGGACAGGAAGCGCUCUCCAUUACAGACCCAGAAUUUAGCAGUUGCUGCAGCAAGGAGAGCUUGGAGGGCUCAGGACAAUAACACAGUGAAACUUAUGCAUACACAGUUAGAAGCUGGGAAGACAGAGUCCCACUGCUGCCAUGCUCUUAUGGUUUAGGUUAACAGGAUUGGUAUUCUUGUGAUUAUCCCUUGCAGGGCCAGGAACUGGACUUCAACGAUCCUCGUGGGACCCUUCCAGCUCAGGAUAUUCUGUGAUUUCAAUGUUCCUAAUGAGUAUUAACCCACUGUGAUUCAUUUCCGCUGAGACAGCUGCAACCCUUUAGCAAAUUUGGGAGGGAGGGGAAAAAGGGGAAGGUACUUUGCAUCUCAAUCAAGUGCCUUCUCCAUGCAAGGACAGCACAUCAUGCAGGAAAAUCUGCUUCCUCAAUCCCCAAACAUCAUUUCUUUGAGUUUUGUGUGGAUUAUCUGAUGGUGCGAGUUUUUGAAGCUUUACUGAAAAUAAAGGCCUCUUCAUCUGAAGAUGCAUCAAUGCUGUUAUGUGAGUUCCAAGUGAACAGGAGAGAAUGGAAGAAGCCCUGAAGCAGAGAAACAGAAUACUUGUCUUCACAGAUGCCUCAGCGUGGUGGGCAGUGCUGUGGAUCUGAAGAAAUGUGAGGACUCAUCUGGGAGCAGAAGCCAAAAUUUGCCCCAGGUAGCCAGGACAUGAGAGUGUGCUUCCAGUCUGGCCUGGUGGGAUCCCGAAUUCCCUUGUGUUUGGCAGCUUCAGUAGCAAGAUUGGAGAGGCCUCGCUCUCAGGUGAACCUUUAGCAAGGUGCCCCUAAGAGGCUGCUUUGGAUUACCUCAGGCUCAGUGUAGGGAACUGAGCCUGGGUCUUCUCCUUCCUGGGUGUGCAUUCUCAUCCCCAGGCUAUUAAAUAGAAGGGAUAGGUGAGAAGGUUGCUGGCUUCCUUUGGCUCUAUUUGAAAAGGAAGUAUCUGCCAUCAGUGCACUUCAUGGGGCGCCUAAUCUUGUUGUGUGUUCUGAAAACACCCUUCAGACAGAGCCCCUUAGGGGACAUGAGGUUCUGGAGCCUGCUCAGGCUGCAGUGCUGAGCUGUUUGGCCCUGCUGAGACUGAGGCAGUUCUGGGCAUGCAUAGAGGUGAGACAUCACCUAUCUGGAACGUCUGGAAAUCAAAAAAAGUAAGGUGCCUCUGUGUGUGAAAUUUCAGAAUCACAAUUUUUGUCACUAUUGGGUUUAGCUUGAUAAUAUAGUUCAAUAUUUUAAUUUUGAGUAAACCUUGACCUAAUAAAGUCAAUCUCCAUCUCUGUGAGAAGCA